CAAGAGUCAAGCCUGUGUGAUUUCCUCUGGGUCUUGGUGCCUGUUUCUAUCUGGCUUCCAAGAGGGAAGAUGAAAUUUCUACUCCUGUCUUUCCUUCUCUUUGCUAUUGCGACAUGUGUCUGUUCCCAGGUUAAACUGCUGCAGACCGGAGCAGCCCAAGUGAAGCCCUCACAGACCCUGAGACUCACCUGCUCCGUGUCCGGAUUCUCUCUCCCAUCUAGCGGGAAUCCUGUGAGCUGGAUUCGAAAGCCCCCAGGGAAAAGCCUGGAGUGGUUGUGCCUUGUGUAUUGGGAGGACGAAAAAUACUACCAGGAGUCACUUAAAAACCAAUUGACCAUCUGCAGGGACACCUCUAAAAGCGAGGGGUAUUUGGAAAUGAGAGGCAUGGAAGCCGGAGACAGCGGCACCUAUUACUGUGUCCUCUCUGAAGUAAAGCUGGUUCAGUCUCGUCCUGGGACCGUGAAGCCCUCAGAAUCUGUCCAGCUGACAUGUGCCACCUCUGGUUUCUCCAUUGCCAGUAGCGGUUACACUUGUCACCGGAUCCGACGGGCUCCUGGCAAAGGGCUGGAAUGGCUGGGCUACGUCAAUGUGUAUUACUCCACCUCCGGCUCCAUCCCCCCUCCAGAGCCGAAGCUCCAUCACCACCGACAAUUCCAAGAACGAGCUGCACCUGCGGCUCCGCUCGCUGACAGCUGCAGACAGGGCCGCCUAUUACUGCGCCAGGCAGUGACACCCUGACACUGAGCCCAGCAGGGACCUGUGCAAACAGGGGAAGCAGAUUCUCAACGGUGCGGCUGAUAGUCACAUGCGCAGCCAGCCAAAAAACACCUCAUGUAUUGACUAUAUAAUUGGCUUUGGAAGAGAGAAAAUGUAGGCAAUGGUGCCCACCUCUCUUCAGAACGGCUUUGCAAAGAUCAUUUCCCUUGUCCAUGGUUUUUGACUGUGUCACUCUCCUCUUUUCAUCCCUCCACUGGAUCCCUGUUCUCGCUGGCAUCAAAUUCACUUGUCUUCGGAAAAAGCUUCUUUG